CCGCUGAGGAGAAGGAGCCAGCUGCCCCAGCUUCACCGGCGCCCUCCCCAGUGCCCUCACCCACCCCAGCCCAGCCUCAGAAGGAGCAGUCCUCCACACAGAUCCCUCCAGACACCGCUGUCCCGGCUGUCCCCACUGUCCCUACUUUCCCGACUGCCCCUCCUACCGCUGCUCCCUCGGUGACCCCUAGCAAACCCAUGGCCGGCACCACAGACCGAGAAGAAGCCACUCGGCUCCUGGCAGAGAAGCGGCGCCAGGCUCGGGAACAGAGGGAACGGGAAGAACAGGAGCGGAAGCUACAGGCUGAAAGGGACAAACGAAUGCGGGAGGAGCAGCUGGCCCGGGAGGCUGAAGCCCGGGCUGAACGUGAGGCUGAGGCCCGGAGAAGGGAGGAGCAAGAGGCUCGAGAGAAGGCGCAGGCUGAGCAGGAGGAGCAGGAGCGGCUGCAGAAGCAGAAAGAGGAAGCCGAAGCUCGGUCCCGGGAAGAAGCUGAGCGCCAGCGCCUGGAGCGGGAAAAGCACUUUCAGAAGGAGGAACAGGAGAGACAAGAGCGAAGAAAGCGGCUGGAGGAGAUAAUGAAGAGGACUCGGAAGUCAGAAGCCGCAGAAACCAAGCAGAAGCAGGAUGGAAAGGAGACCAUGGCUAACAAUUCUGGCCCAGACCCUGUGAAAGCUGUAGAAACUCGGCCCUCUGGGCUACAGAAG
rnacentral:lncRNA from 1 species